GCGUCUAUGGGAAUCGUUUCUAAAUUCAGAAACGUUGAGAGCUUAGUUUUUGUGUGGGCUCAUGGUUUGCAGCUGGAUGAAAAGACAUUAGGGUAAGAUUUUAGCCCCCGGCAUAACUCUUGUACCAAACAUUCAUGCAGGAUCUAUAAAUGGCUAGAGUUUCAAUCUAAAUUAAUUUAAUUUGAGCACGCAUAGGAAGAACUUCUCCUUAGGAUCUGGACGGCAGGUGCUUAAAUCAAGGAGCCUGGUCUGUCUGAAGACUGG
rnacentral:lncRNA from 1 species